UUCCCUAACAACACACAACAUUCCAGGAAUGUACUACCAAAGUUCUAUCAAUAUUUGAAUGUCCUGGACAUUUAGGGAACAUUCGGUGAACAUCUGUUUAAAUUAUUCCUGGAAUGUUACCAUAAGACAUUCUGUGAACAUACUACCAAUGUUCCUAUAUUUUAAGUUGCGAAAUAAUACAUACGUGUAAGAGAUACAACAUUACUUAUAACAUACCAGACAAACUAAGUGACAUUUUAGGCCUACAGUGCAAUAAUAUGUCAAAUUUAAAGAGUUUCCCAAGAUUAUAAACAUACAAAUGUAAUAAAAAUUAUUGUUCGCGAAUAUUCAAUUUGGAAUGCGAUUUUGUUAAUAAAAAAAAUACUUAUAACUUAUGCAAAACCCAAGAGAGGCAUUUAUAUUUAUUUUUUUGCGUUCAUUUUCAAAUUCGCCGUGCAUAUAUUUUUGUGCAUGGCGCUUGAGAGGGCAUCACGUGACUAAAAACGACCAACCAACGACCUCGCUUCGGCCAUCUUGGCAUCUUCAUCUUGGCGACCUUGCCUUGCCGUGGAUUGUUUUUAGUUGUUUGUAUUAUUUGUGCUUUUUAAGAAUAUUUUUUUAAUUCGGAUACUUUUAUAAUAGCUUUAAUAGUAUUAUUAACAUAGUGCAUAAAAUGGUGUCCUGUUUUUAACGCAGUUGGAGUAGCAGAAACAAAUGUAGAUAAAAAAAUCUGCAGGAAUAACGUUUCAAUUAUGACAGAAGCUCAAAACAAAUGACUGUGAAUGAAAAGCCCUAUUAAAAGCUUUCCAGAAGAUCCUGCGAAGAAGACAUGAAGUAUAGAUCAGAUUUGUUAAUAGAGGAGUAUGUUCAAAACACUUUUUAGAAAAAGAUAUUGACAGAACUUCACUUUCAUCUGUUCGUUUGAGAGACUGUGCUGUUCCAAUAGCUUAUGUCACACAGAAUCAGCUGAGAGAAGUGGUCUACAAAAAACCAGAAAGGAAACGGAAUAUGUGGCUACGAAAAGCAAAAGAAAGGUUUACAAAGCAAAUGUGACACAUUUUUUUAUAAUAUUUAGGAAUGUCAGCAAAUUACAUUAAAAAAUGUAUGUAAAGAUUUUUUGCAAUAAAAAUGUUUAUAUUUA